rnacentral:rRNA from 1 species
GAUGAACGCUGGCGGCGUGCUUAACACAUGCAAGUCGAACGAAGCACUUUAUUUGAUUUCCUUCGGGACUGAUUAUUUUGUGACUGAGUGGCGGACGGGUGAGUAACGCGUGGGUAACCUGCCUUGUACAGGGGGAUAACAGUUGGAAACGGCUGCUAAUACCGCAUAAGCGCACAGCAUCGCAUGAUGCAGUGUGAAAAACUCCGGUGGUAUAAGAUGGACCCGCGUUGGAUUAGCUAGUUGGUGAGGUAACGGCCCACCAAGGCGACGAUCCAUAGCCGACAUGAGAGGGUGACCGGCCACAUUGGGACUGAGACACGGCCCAAACUCCUACGGGAGGCAGCAGUGGGGAAUAUUGCAAAAUGGGCGAAAGCCUGAUGCAGCGACGCCGCGUGAGCGAAGAAGUAUUUCGGUAUGUAAAGCUCUAUCAGCAGGGAAGAUAAUGACGGUACCUGACUAAGAAGCACCGGCUAAAUACGUG